GAUGAACGCUAGCGAUAGGCCUAACACAUGCAAGUCGAGGGGCAUCACAUGAAGUAGCAAUACGGAUGGUGGCGACCGGCGCACGGGUGAGUAACACGUAUGCAACCUGCCUUCAACAAGGGGAUAACCCGUUGAAAGACGGACUAAUACCCUAUAACACAGGGGUCCCGCAUGGGAAUAUUUGUUAAAGGACAACCGGUUGAAGAUGGGCAUGCGUUCCAUUAGCUAGUUGGCGGGGUAACGGCCCACCAAGGCAACGAUGGAUAGGGGAACUGAGAGGUUUAUCCCCCACACUGGUACUGAGACACGGACCAGACUCCUACGGGAGGCAGCAGUGAGGAAUAUUGGUCAAUGGACGCAAGUCUGAACCAGCCACGUCGCGUGAAGGAAGACGGCCCUACGGGUUGUAAACUUCUUUUAUACGGGAAUAAAGUGCCCCACGCGUGGGGUUUUGCAUGUACCGUAUGAAUAGGAUCGGCUAA
rnacentral:rRNA from 1 species